rnacentral:rRNA from 1 species
AGUCAAGUAAUUAAGUGCAUGUGGUGGAUGCCUUGGCAGUCAGAGGCGAUGAAAGACGUGAUAGCCUGCGAAAAGCUCCGGGAGGCGGCAAAUAUCCUUUGAUCCGGAGAUGUCUGAAUGGGGGAACCCACCUACUUUAAGGUAGGUAUUGCAACAUGAAUACAUAGUGUUGCAAGGCGAACGAGGGGAAGUGAAACAUCUCAGUACCCUUAGGAAAAGAAAUCAAUUGAGAUUCCCUCAGUAGCGGCGAGCGAACGGGGAUCAGCCCAUUAAGUUAUGUGUGUUUUAGUGGAACGCUCUGGGAAGUGCGAACGUAGAGGGUGAUAUUCCCGUACACGAAAGGGCACACAUAAUGAUGACGAGUAGGGCGAGGCACGUGAAACCUUGUCUGAAUAUGGGGACCAUCCUCCAAGGCUAAAUACUCCUGACUGACCGAUAGUGAACCAGUACCGUGAGGGAAAGGCGAAAAGAACCCCUGUGAGGGGAGUGAAAUAGAUCCUGAAACCGCAUGCAUACAAGCAGUGGGAGCACCUUCGUGGUGUGACUGCGUACCUUUUGUAUAAUGGGUCAGCGACUUAUAUUCAGUAGCGAGGUUAACCGUAUAGGGGAGCCGUAGAGAAAUCGAGUCUUAAUAGGGCGUUUAGUUGCUGGGUAUAGACCCGAAACCAGGCGAUCUAUCCAUGAGCAGGUUGAAGGUUGGGUAACACUAACUGGAGGACCGAACCCACUGUCGUUGAAAAGCCAGGGGAUGACUUGUGGAUAGGGGUGAAAGGCUAAUCAAGCCUGGUGAUAGCUGGUUCUCCCCGAAAGCUAUUUAGGUAGCGCCUCGGACGAAUACCAUAGGGGGUAGAGCACUGUUUCGGCUAGGGGGUCAUCCCGACUUACCAAACCGAUGCAAACUCCGAAUACCUAUGAGUACUAUCCGGGAGACAGACUGCGGGUGCUAACGUCCGUAGUCAAGAGGAAAACAAUCCAGACCGCCAGCUAAGGCCCCAAAAUCAUAGUUAAGUGGGAAACGAUGUGGGAAGGCAUAGACAGCUAGGAGGUUGGCUUAGAAGCAGCCACCCUUUAAAGAAAGCGUAAUAGCUCACUAGUCGAGUCGGCCUGCGCGGAAGAUGUAACGGGGCUAAAACUAUGUGCCGAAGCUGCGGAUGUAUACUUUGUAUACGUGGUAGGGGAGCGUUCUGUAAGCCGAUGAAGGUGUGUUGAGAAGCAUGCUGGAGGUAUCAGAAGUGCGAAUGCUGACGUGAGUAACGACAAAACGGGUGAAAAACCCGUUCGCCGAAAGACCAAGGGUUCCAGUCCAACGUUAAUCGGGGCUGGGUGAGUCGACCCCUAAGGCGAGGCCGAAAGGCGUAGUCGAUGGGAAAAUGGUUAAUAUUCCAUUACUUCUGUGUAAUGCGAUGAGAGGACGGAGAAGGCUAAAUCAGCCUGGCGUUGGUUGUCCAGGUGAAAGGAUGUAGGCAUGUAUCUUAGGCAAAUCCGGGGUACUCUAUGCUGAGAUCUGAUAGCAAGCUGUACUUGUACAGCGAAGUGGUUGAUGCCAUGCUUCCAGGAAAAGUCUCUAAGCUUCAGUUACACAGGAAUCGUACCCGAAACCGACACAGGUGGUCAGGUCGAGUAGACCAAGGCGCUUGAGAGAACUCUGCUGAAGGAACUAGGCAAAAUGGUACCGUAACUUCGGGAGAAGGUACGCUGUUGUUGGUGAUGGAACUCGCUUCCUGAGCUGACGACAGCCGCAGAAACCAGGCCGCUGCAACUGUUUAUUAAAAACAUAGCACUCUGCAAACACGAAAGUGGACGUAUAGGGUGUGAUGCCUGCCCGGUGCUGGAAGGUUAAUUGAUGGGGUUAGCGUAAGCGAAGCUCUUGAUCGAAGCCCCAGUAAACGGCGGCCGUAACUAUAACGGUCCUAAGGUAGCGAAAUUCCUUGUCGGGUAAGUUCCGACCUGCACGAAUGGCAUAAUGAUGGCGGCGCUGUCUCCAGCAGAGGCUCAGUGAAAUCGAAAUCGCUGUGAAGAUGCAGUGUACCCGCGGCUAGACGGAAAGACCCCGUGAACCUUUACUGCAGCUUGACACUGAACUUUGACCUUACUUGUGUAGGAUAGGUGGGAGGCUUUGAAGCUGGAACGCUAGUUCCAGUGGAGCCGUCCUUGAAAUACCACCCUGGUAAUGUUGAGGUUCUAACUCUGUCCCGUGAUCCGGGACGAGGACCGUGUCUGGUGGGUAGUUUGACUGGGGCGGUCUCCUCCUAAAGAGUAACGGAGGAGUACGAAGGUGCGCUCAGCGUGGUCGGAAAUCACGCGUAGAGUAUAAAGGCAAAAGCGCGCUUAACUGCGAGACCCACAAGUCGAGCAGGUACGAAAGUAGGUCUUAGUGAUCCGGUGGUUCUGUAUGGAAGGGCCAUCGCUCAACGGAUAAAAGGUACUCUGGGGAUAACAGGCUGAUACCGCCCAAGAGUUCAUAUCGACGGCGGUGUUUGGCACCUCGAUGUCGGCUCAUCUCAUCCUGGGGCUGAAGCAGGUCCCAAGGGUAUGGCUGUUCGCCAUUUAAAGAGGUACGCGAGCUGGGUUUAGAACGUCGUGAGACAGUUCGGUCCCUAUCUACCGUGGGCGCUGGAAAUUUGAGAGGAUCUGCUCCUAGUACGAGAGGACCAGAGUGGACGAACCUCUGGUGUACCGGUUGUGACGCCAGUCGCAUCGCCGGGUAGCUAUGUUCGGAAGGGAUAACCGCUGAAAGCAUCUAAGCGGGAAGCCUACCUCAAGAUAAGAUUUCCCUAGGACUUUAUGUCCUCUAAAGAGCCGUUCGAGACUAGGACGUUGAUAGGUUGGAUGUGGAAGCAUAGUGAUAUGUGAAGCUGACCAAUACUAAUUGCUCGUGAGGCUUGACUAU